rnacentral:tRNA from 1 species
AGUAGAAUGGCUGAGUUUAUAAGGUGAUAGAUUGUAAAUCUAUAAAGGAAUUGUGAUUCUUCUACU